rnacentral:sRNA from 1 species
AUGUGGAGGUCAGAGUGGAAGCAGGUGUGAGAGGGUCCAGCAGAAGGAAACAUGGCUGCCAAAGUGUUUGAGUCCAUUGGCAAGUUUGGCCUGGCCUUAGCUGUUGCAGGAGGCGUGGUGAACUCUGCCUUAUAUAAUGUGGAUGCUGGGCACAGAGCUGUCAUCUUUGACCGAUUCCGUGGAGUGCAGGACAUUGUGGUAGGGGAAGGGACUCAUUUUCUCAUCCCAUGGGUACAGAAACCAAUUAUCUUUGACUGCCGUUCUCGACCACGUAAUGUGCCAGUCAUCACUGGUAGCAAAGAUUUACAGAAUGUCAACAUCACACUGCGCAUCCUCUUCCGGCCUGUCGCUAGCCAGCUUCCUCGCAUCUUCACCAGCAUCGGAGAGGACUAUGAUGAGCGUGUGCUGCCGUCCAUCACGACCGAGAUCCUCAAGUCAGUGGUGGCUCGUUUUGAUGCUGGAGAACUAAUCACCCAGAGAGAGCUGGUUUCCAGGCAGGUGAGCGAUGACCUUACGGAGCGAGCCGCCACCUUUGGGCUCAUCCUGGAUGACGUGUCCUUGGUAAGAUCCUUCGGGAGACCGAGGGGAAGGGGCUGCAGUUCUUGUUUAGGUGCCUGGCUCCAUUUCUGGGUAGACGCUAUUAGGUCCUCCCUUCUGCUUUGCUAGAUGUGAGACUUGAAAACACGGAAACAUGCUGAGGUGAGGCAGUCUCCGUGGGUUUUUCGGUUGAGGGUUCUUUUACCUUCCCCCUGCCACACACAUUUUUCUUAUGACCUCUGGUUGUAUCCAGAUAGUCCCUAACCACUAAAUGUUUUACCUUCUCCAAACUGUUACCCAGAAAGUG